ACUGAGACGCGUCAGGACGGCCCGCUGGCCACCUCUCACAGACUUGUGAAUUUCGGCACCUCCUCGCCUACACUGGGCCGCGAUGACUGCACCGACCCUCACGAUUGACG
rnacentral:sRNA from 1 species